rnacentral:rRNA from 1 species
AAUAGAUACCCUGGUAGUCCACGCCGUAAACGAUGAGUGCUAAGUGUUAGAGGGUUUCCGCCCUUUAGUGCUGCAGCUAACGCAUUAAGCACUCCGCCUGGGGAGUACGGUCGCAAGACUGAAACUCAAAGGAAUUGACGGGGGCCCGCACAAGCGGUGGAGCAUGUGGUUUAAUUCGAAGCAACGCGAAGAACCUUACCAGGUCUUGACAUCCCACUGACCGGUAUAGAGAUAAUACCUUUCCCUUCGGGGACAGUGGUGACAGGUGGUGCAUGGUUGUCGUCAGCUCGUGUCGUGAGAUGUUGGGUUAAGUCCCGCAACGAGCGCAACCCUUGAUCUUAGUUGCCAGCAUUUAGUUGGGCACUCUAAGGUGACUGCCGGUGACAAACCGGAGGAAGGUGGGGAUGACGUCAAAUCAUCAUGCCCCUUAUGACCUGGGCUACACACGUGCUACAAUGGAUGGUACAAAGGGCUGCAAGACUGCGAAGUCAAGCCAAUCCCAUAAAACCAUUCUCAGUUCGGAUUGC